GAGAGGUGGCUGAGUGGUUGAAAGCUUCAGAUUGCUAAUCUGAUGU
rnacentral:tRNA from 12 species